rnacentral:rRNA from 1 species
ACGCUCGACACCUACGGGAGCAGCAGUAGGGAAUCUUCCACAAUGGACGCAAGUCUGAUGGAGCAACGCCGCGUGAGUGAAGAAGGUCUUCGGAUCGUAAAACUCUGUUGUUAGAGAAGAACACGAGUGAGAGUAACUGUUCAUUCGAUGACGGUAUCUAACCAGCAAGUCACGGCUAACUACGUGCCAACAGCCGCGGUAAUCUGAGCGGGCUGGCAAGGC